UUUCCGUAGGUGAACCUGCGGAAGGAUCAUUACCGUACAAAAUGUCAAGGGCAUUCGAGGACUGUAGCUGAUCCCGAGUUGGUGCAGGGGCGGGUGGGGCCUGUUGCAUGAUCAUCGAGGGCACCCUUGGUGCAUCACCGGCCGGGCACCCUUAGGGAUAAAUUCGGAGGGGACCUUGCGUUUUCAUACAAAACAAACAUUUAAAAAAAUAUAAUUACAACAUUUAUGCAAUCAAUACAACUUUCAAAAACGGAUCUCUUUGCUAUCGCAUUGAUGCAA
rnacentral:misc_RNA from 1 species